rnacentral:rRNA from 1 species
UACGUAGGGUGCAAGCGUUGUCCGGAAUUAUUGGGCGUAAAGAGCUUGUAGGCGGUUUGUCGCGUCUGCUGUGAAAUUUCGGGGCUCAACCCCGAACUUGCAGUGGGUACGGGCAGACUAGAGUGUGGUAGGGGGAGACUGGAAUUCCUGGUGUAGCGGUGGAAUGCGCAGAUAUCAGGAGGAACACCGGUGGCGAAGGCGGGUCUCUGGGCAGUAACUGACGCUGAGGAGCGAAAGCGUGGGGAGCGAACAGG